rnacentral:rRNA from 1 species
UACGUAGGUGGCAAGCGUUGUCCGGAUUUAUUGGGUUUAAAGGGUGCGUAGGCGGUCUUCUAAGUCAGUUGUGAAAUACUUCAGCUUAACUGGAGAGGUGCAAUUGAUACUGGAAGACUUGAGUACUGAUGAGGUAGGCGGAAUGGACGGUGUAGCGGUGAAAUGCUUAGAUAUCGUCCAGAACACCGAUAGCGAAGGCAGCUUACUAAGGAGUAACUGACGCUGAGGCACGAAAGUGCGGGGAUCAAACAGG